rnacentral:misc_RNA from 1 species
UGGUUGGUGAACACUCGCAGUAUUUGAAUACAAUCUGGACUUGAUGUACUUGUUCCCUCGGGCUCCAUCUUGUCAAGAUCAAAAAUUUUAAGACAAACAGCUGGGGGCUGGGAAGCUAUUUGCUCAUCUUCUCCAACAGUCACUAAGAAGUUCCUUUGCUUGAGCUGUUGGAGGAAGAGGACAGAUGAAGAAUGAGCUUGAAAACCAUAAUUGAACUUCAAUCCUCGAUCCAAUAACGAAGCACUGCCAUCAUCACAACCCAACACAAUCCUUCCUUUACCGCUGGAACAACAUUGGAUCUUGCCCGCUAUAUCAUCUGGAACUUUCCCAGAAAAUUUCUCCUCAAAAAAUUCAAACUUCCUCCAUUGAUACAUCCUUUUGUUGGUCUAGCCCUUAGUUACUGCUCAACCAGACCCACUACAUGAAAUUGCAAACCCAGUGAGUAUGAUUCUGGAAUUUGUAGAAAAAUUGAAACUUUAUAGUUGUUAGCAAUCACGUUGUAGGAAGAAUUGAAUCGACUCUUAGAUGAAAUUUUGAUCUAAUUUUAUGAAAAGGUCCAUAGACAGGAUGGAAAGUUGAAGAAUGA